rnacentral:lncRNA from 1 species
UCCCGCAGAAAUCCUGUGGAGGGGUCUGAGUGGCGCUACAGCUUCAGCUUGCAUUCCUCUGUCAGCCCCGUCUCCCCCAGGUCCUCUGCUCGCCCUUACCAGUUGAGCCGAACCCUUUGGAUUGGUACCCCAUGGAACACCAGGGCCCCCGAGAAGCGUGGCGCUGGCGGUGCCGACCUGCUGCUGGCACUGCCGGGCCGG